GGCCGGGUAAACCCCUUCCCUGCCGGGUGACCCUGGGGGAGCCGUGGCAGGACUGCGGGGCUGGUGCUCUCUGGGUGGAUCGAGUUUUGCUUUGGAAUUCCAAACCCUUUCCCUGUGCAGGGUUACGAGGCCAAGACUGCUUUAGCUUGGUUUUUUUUGGUGCUGCAUUAAUGCUUUUUGCUGGUUCUGUGUCAAUUUGCAGCCUGGCUCGUGGUUUCCCCUGGUGCUGGGGAGUGGAGGCGAGUUGUGCUUCCUGCCGGGAGAGAGAAGGGCCUUGGGAAGCUGCUCCAUGAGCCACAGCUGUGCCGAGCCCGGGAGUCUGUCCAGCAGGAUGUGGAGUGCCACCAUGUCCCCGAGGUCACCCUUUCUGCUGUUGGGAGAGCAUGAGGUGGAUGGAGAGGAUCCCCAGCCAUCUGCAGGCAAAAGGGACUGGCACAACUGUGAUUUUUCUCCAGCUCUCUUAAGGUGGACUUUCAGGGUACCAUGGGACGUGAAUGCAAGAACCUGCCAAGAAAAGCAAUGGCCAAGAUGAUUGAUGAGUGCAGGACCUGAGAGAACCACCUUGAAUGACAAUCUCAAGGAGUUUCCAGUAUUGGAUUUAAAAGAUGGCCUUUGCUGCAUCUCCUUGAGCAAGGAAAGCCAAGAAACCUUUGCUUUUGAAGGAGAAAAUCUGGAA